rnacentral:lncRNA from 1 species
GGAGUACGGUUCGUCUUGUGUUGUUGAUGGGUUUGUCGGCGUGUGGUGGAAGGUUGAAGAAGAUCUCGCCGAAGGUGGGGUGUGUGGCGCGGCCGAUGAAUGGGGAUGUAGUGGAGAUUUCUGGCGGAGGAUGAGGUCGAAGGGUUUGGCGAGAAGAAGAUGUUGAGGUGAAGGGCGCGCAGUGGAUUGUGUGGGUAGAAUGGUGAAGUUGACGCAAAGGUGGUCGAAAAGG